rnacentral:ncRNA from 2 species
CGAUCUCUUUCACGAGAGAGCUGACACCGAGCAGCCGCCGAAGAGGCAAGCCGGGGGACGAUGAAGCUGGUCCUCAGGUGAAACUUUCAGGCAAAAGGAUUGGAAGAGGGAC